UACGGAGGGUGCAAGCGUUAUCCGGAUUCACUGGGCUUAAAGGGUGCGUAGGAGGGCAGGUAAGUCAGUGGUGAAAUCUCCAAGCUUAACUUGGAAACUGCCGUUGAUACUAUCUGUCUUGAAUAUUGUGGAGGUGAGCGGAAUAUGUCAUGUAGCGGUGAAAUGCUUAGAUAUGACAUAGAACACCAAUUGCGAAGGCAGCUCGCUACACAUAUAUUGACUCUGAGGCACGAAAGCGUGGGGAUCAAACAGG
rnacentral:rRNA from 1 species